UACGUAGGGUGCGAGCGUUGUCCGGAAUUAUUGGGCGUAAAGAGCUCGUAGGCGGUGUGUCGCGUCGGCCGUGAAAACUUGCAGCUUAACUGUGGGCGUGCGGUCGAUACGGGCAUCACUGGAGUUCGGCAGGGGAGACUGGAAUUCCUGGUGUAGCGGUGAAAUGCGCAGAUAUCAGGAGGAACACCGGUGGCGAAGGCGGGUCUCUGGGCCGAUACUGACGCUGAGGAGCGAAAGCGUGGGGAGCAAACAGG
rnacentral:rRNA from 1 species